rnacentral:tRNA from 2 species
GGCGCAUUGGUGAAGCGGUCUAACACAGCCGACUUUCUAUCGGUGACACGUGGGUUCGAAUCCCACAUGCGGUA